rnacentral:misc_RNA from 1 species
AUUGUCAUUAAUGGGCACUCAAUGAGGUGACGGUUCUUUAUUUCAUUCGAGGACAAAACAAACUUGAGAGUUUUCACUUCCUUCCCAUGACUUCCUAAAGGAAGCCCAAGUGUUGAAUCAGUUCAAUAGAAAGCUUUUAACCAACAUUUGAGUUGAUGGUUUACAACCAUCAUUUAGGAUUGCAAUUCAUUUCGGAUAAUUUGGAAUGUAGAGCAGUUCAAUAAAACUACAAUAAGUCUAUAAAAAUUCUAUUUAUUUUUCAACUUUUAUUCGAGAAUUAUUGGAUUUGGGUUCACAGGUCUUCACAAUAGAAGACCCAUUCGACUUGAUUGUAUUAUGAUAGUGCAUUUUAAUAUUCUGGAAUAGACCUAAACAGCUUUUAGCUUGAAAAACUACAAUAUGAUAUUUUUGAGGACCACAGAUUUCAUGCGGCAGUACAUUAAUUAUUUCCGCUAUGAUGGGAAUAACAAUGCACUAUUGUUUAUCCUGAUGGCAAUUAUAGAAAUAAUAACUCUUUCAUAUUCGUUGAUGAUAUUCGUUUAUGAGAGAAACAACCUUGAUAAAUGCUUUAUUGCGAUUAAAGAUGUAUUGCUUGUGCUUACCGUGUUCAGUGGUUCAGUAGAACGAUUGAGUGAACCAGAUGAAAGCAUCGAAAUGACGCAUUUAAUUGAGGAAGAAUUUUUAUUAGAUCGUUUUGAGUUGGAUGAGACUUCCCAAAGCUGGGGCAGAAUAGUAGAGAACUACAAAAAGAAGAGAAAACUGCUGGAAUUGUUGGAUAAAAUGUCACUGGCGUGCACUGUCUGUUGUUACUCGUCACUUAUGUUCAGAAAUACUUUGGUAAGAUUAGUAGAAACGAAUCCAGAGGAUCAACUACGGGGAUUUCCCUUUCCAUUUGUCUCCUACAUUCCUCCAGAGUUCGAUCAGGUUUCAUUUUCAACAUAUAUAUUCUUUUUGCAAUCCUUACUAAUAAUUCUUUUCACUCUGGAGGCGUUCACUGCCUAUGCAUCGCUAAUAGAAAGCAUAAGAAAACUUAUGACAGACUAUGAGAACAUUUAUAUCUUGUUAGAUGACAUCAAGUAUUAUUCAUCUGAUAUUAGUCUAGAAGAUGGGAAUACUUCACAUUAUAAUGUAGAGCACACUCAAGGGGAAUGAAGAGGAUUUGAGAAGAAAUAUGGGACUCAUUGUGCGAUAUCACCAGUACAUAAACAGAAUGAAAUAUUUCGAAGAUAUCUGGCAGAGCUUCCAUGGAUCAACAAGCCAAAGUGGUUCAAGCAGAGCAUGAUAAUUAUUAUGAGCCGAGCUAAUGUUGAUACUCAGAUCAAACCAUAUGGAAUCUUCUACCUAAACCUCACAUCAUACAAAGAUUUGUUGAAAGCUGCUUUCUCGUUUGCGAACAUUCUCUACACUUACAAAAUGGCACGAGGAGAACAAUAAGGUGCUGGAAAUGACAAUAUGGGAAACUCAUCUCAAUGGGGGCAUGGAACGGUCAAGGGAGAACAAUACCACUCCUUCAACGCCGGUUCAAUGGGAAACAAUAACUGGCAACUCAUGUCAAUAUUAAAAAAUAGGGGGUUCAUGGCCCCAUUCAAAUAGUUUUAGUAAUAUAGGAAAUAUUUUCAAUACCUACUGCAAAAUCCAACACUCUGGUUUGCAGCUUACAACUCGACAUACAUGUAUCGUUUUAAAAUAUCACUAAGAAAAUCAGUUUUAUAUCCAUGAAUGUAUAAAUUUAGGUUCAUCAUCAAUGGUUUCCAAAUUAUCUCAGUUAUUAUGUUUUUGUCUUUUGUGAAUAAAUUGAAUAAAAAUGACUUAUA